AUACUUACCUGGCGAGUGUAAUUUCGUGAUCAAGAAGGCGAAAUACAUGGUUUGGUUGUUUCACAUUGCACAAAGUGAAGUGAUCAGGCUGCGAACGUUCUAUACGAAUGUCUCGGUCGCAUAAUUUUUGGUAGUGGGGAUUACAGGCGUUCGCGCCAGUUUUCCCUU
rnacentral:snRNA from 1 species